AAAAAAGGCAUUUUGAAAUUAGGGAAAGAAACCUGCAAACUUCAGUAAUGAUGGCUUCAUAAUAGGAUGUUUUCCAGUCAUUCAGCAUUUACAGUGUAUGCACUGGGUACUGAGUCCAGUUAACUGCGGGCAUGGAAAUGCAAAAAGAGAGAAUCUAAAAACCUAGCUUUAAUGCCACUAAAUAUUUGUGAUGUGAAUCACAAUAUAUUUGAGCAAUUAAAAAUAAAAAUUCUUUCUGUAGAUGAGUUCAUAAAUUAUUUGGGAAGGGAAAAUAUCACAUGAAAAUGAUCUACUAAUUAUAGUAUUCAAAUUAACAAGUCUGAAUUAUUUCAUAUAAACUUUAUUUUUUAUACAAAAUUUCUACAAAUAAGUUUUGAAUUGAAGAUGCAAUUGAAAGCAAAAUGUGAAUAGGAUGAAAAUAACAGCUUCCCAGAAGAUGGAUUACUUCUGGAGAACUUAAAGGAACCACCGAGGUCAUAAAUGUUUAACCCUAAUUCUAGAGAACAGAUGGCCCCUGGAAGAGAAGACAUUAUAGAAACAUACAUGCACACAACAUAGAUACUCACAUACAUGUAAACAUACAUAUAUAUUUACAUACAUAUAUGUCUAGAGAUAUGUAAGUUGCUAUUAAUGGUGUGAUAUUAUGAAUGCUAUUAGUUUUAGAUAGAAAUCUGUUACCCUAAUUAAAAUCCACAUUCUAUGGUGUUCACUUGGCAUCAUAUCAAAAAGAUCAGAGUCAACUACAAGGGGUUCUUUUAUACAUCUCCAUCUUCACCUGAGACUUUGAUAAUUACCUGAUGAAUGUCAAAAAUAAAUUUGCAUUGGGGCAUGUAAGUGGCUCAGUCAGUUAAGCAUCUGACUUUGGCUCAGGUCAUGAUCCCAGAGUCCUGGGAUCAAGCCCCACAUCAGGCUCCCUGCCUGGUGGAAGCCUGCUUCUCCUUCUCCCUUUUCCAUUCCCUCUGCCACUCUCCCUGCUUGUGGUCUCUCACUCUCUCUCAAGUAAAUAAAUAUUUUUUAAAAAAUUUGCAUGGUGAAAUUAGUGGAUUAUUGAUUAGCAAAAUGACCAUUUGAGGUACAAAUAUACUAUGAAUGCAUAGAACUGAGAAUUAUGAGAUCUCUUUAUGUUAGAUAUGUCUUUAAGAAGCCUAUUAAGAAAGUUUAUCUUUCCAAAAUCUCCUAUUUUAAUAUUGCUAUUUCCACAGUAACUGGGAAUAAGUUAAUGAACACCACUUACAGUAGUGUCAAGCUUAGGUCUUCUAUUGUUAUCAAUUACAUUGACCAUUACCUAUGGGUAGGUACAAGAAAGUUCACCAAAGGUGAUAGCAAACAAAAGAUAUGGCUAGACAAUGGUAACAUGAAUCAAUAAAAAUAUGAGCCAACGGAAUCAAAAUCUUACGUUUUGUUGUCUAUUGGAUCUGUAGUUAACAAAAUUACUGAUAAACAGAGAGUAUUUAAGCAAACUUAAUGAGUGAUAAACACUAGUAUGUGACAGUAUUCAGACAUGUAUACUACAUGUGUCCAAAUAGCUGAAAAUGUUUCGCAUCAUCUUUCAAUUAUCUAUGAUAAUGAUUCUAUAUAAGUCAUAGAAUAUUUAUAAUUAGUCAUAGCAUUAUAUUUAUAAUUAUAAUUCUGCCAACUAUAAACACAGCCAUCUCAAGAGAGGUGGCUUCAGUGGAGGCCCCUUGUUCUGAUGUGACUUGUUGCCAUUUUUCAAGUUUGAUAACUGAAGUCGUUCAAAAUGAACUGCUCUGCAAGACAGAGAAGAAUUUGAAGAUGCCAGGAUAUCUGAGUGACAGGCUGAACAAGAAGAGGGAAAGGGAUAGCAGUAGUGAAAAAAAAAGAAGGAAGGAAUCAAUGAGAUUAAUAGUCAUGACCACAAACUUCCAAAUUUUCAGUAAAGCAAGCAAAACUCCCAACUAAUGUGAUGGAUAUAUUUUAUGGAAAUCACUAAAAGGAAUUCAUUGAAGAUGGGGCUGUCACAGUAUAGGGCAGUGUAAGCUCCCUGACAAUUAGCAUCCUUCUUAAAGAAGGGCUUUUAAAUUUUAUAGGCUAUGAAAUCCCAGAGUAGUGUUCAAGGAAAUUUUGUAGAGAUAAAGAACCUCAUUAAACAUGAAAAAAUGUAUAUUUUAAAACAGUAUAUAUUUUAAAUGUAUAUUAUAAAACAGUAUUAUCUAUGCAAAGGAAAAGAUUCACACAAAUCUCAGUGUGGUAGACUGAAUGACAACUCACUCCCUUAAAGAUGUCCACAUCCUAAUUUCCAGAACUUGUGAAUGUCCCCUUACACAACAAAGGGGACUCUGUAGAUGUGGUUAAAGAUGUAAAGAUGGAGAUAUUAUCCUGGAUCAUCUGGGUGGGCUCAAAGUAACCACAAAGAUCUUUAUAACUGUAAGUUGGGAGGCAAGAAGAAAAGAGAAUUUGAAGACGUGAAGAUGAAGGAAGGGGCUAUGAGCAAACCAUGUUGGUAGCCUCUGGAAAUUGGAAAAGGCAAGGAGAUGGAUACCUCAUAAAGCCUCCAGAAGAAAUGCAACCUGGCUAACACUGAUUAUAGCUUAAAAAGACCUCCAAAAUGCAGGAUACUAAAUUUGUGUUGUUUUAAGCCAUUAAAUUUGCCACAAAUUGUUACAGCAACACUAAGAAACUAACACACUCACAUUAGUAAAUUUUGACUGACUAGGAAUCAGAUCCACAAGUUUUCAAGACAUGGCAAAAUAGUAAGAAAGGCUAUUGCUAAGGCAUAGAUGGAAAGGAAGAUUAAAACCACUGAACUACACAUUUUAAAAGGUGAACUUUAGGAUGCCUGGGUGGCUCAGUCAGUUGAGUAGCCAACUUUUGGUUUUGGCUCAGGUCAUGAUCUCAAGGUCCUGGGAUCAAGCCCUAAGUCAGGCUCUGCACUCAGUGGGGAAUCUGUUGGUGGAUUUUCUCUCUCCCUCUGCCUCUUCCUCUGCUCAUGCUCUCAUGCACUCUCCCUCGAUUUCUCUCUCUCUCUCUCUCAAAUAAAUUAAUCUUUAAAAAAUAAAUAAAUAAAAUAAAAUGGUGAACUAUAUCUCAGCAAAAUCAAUUUAUAAUCAUUCAGUAAUUUGCCUGAAUAAAGAUUACAAAAUAAUAGACAAGUUUUGCUUUAACCUAUUGUUUGACUGUUUUAAUAUAACAGUGAUACACAUUCCUAUUUUUCUGAAAAUGAGAUUAUGAUGAUGAUGAUGGUGGUGGUGAUGAUGACAUUAAUGAUGGUGUUAAGAAUUUUGAUGAAGAUGACAACCAGCUUGCUUAUUGUCCAGUCUAGUUCAGGCCCUUUAAGGGUGUCUUCCCACCCUAAAGAACUAUAAUAAACUAAUAAGACAAAUAUUAUAUCCAUCAUGCAUUGACCUGAUUCUGAUCCACUAGCUUUACCCCCUUAGCAUUAUUCCUUACUUCUUUUUCGACCAUCUCCUUUCUUAUAGAUUUCCACCCAGCUUAAACUCAGUCUAAGGUAUUUUUGAUCAACUACCCUGAACAUUGCUUCACCUCUAUUCCAGGGUGACUAUGUAAGCUGCCUUGCAAGAGGGCAUCCAGUGUCUGGACUCUCUCUUUCUCUAUAUCGAGAUACGGCUGGCCAGUCCACCCCUAAACUGAGAGGAGGAUUAUGCAUCAUUAUCACCAGAGUAC
rnacentral:lncRNA from 1 species